ensembl:snRNA U7 U7 small nuclear RNA
CAGUGUUACGGCUGUUUUAGAAUUUGUCUAGCAGGUUUUCUGGUUUUUACGAGACUCCCCCA